CAGCAGCCGCGGUAAUACGGAGGGUGCAAGCGUUAAUCGGAAUUACUGGGCGUAAAGCGCACGCAGGCGGUCUGUCAAGUCAGAUGUGAAAUCCCCGGGCUUAACCUGGGAACUGCAUUUGAAACUGGCAGGCUAGAGUCUUGUAGAGGGGGGUAGAAUUCCAGGUGUAGCGGUGAAAUGCGUAGAGAUCUGGAGGAAUACCGGUGGCGGAGGCGGCCCCCUGGACAAAGACUGACGCUCAGGCGCGAAAGCGUGGGGAGCAAACAGGAUUAGAGACCCCUGUAGUCCCUGUCUCUUAUAC
rnacentral:rRNA from 1 species